AGUUAGACCAUAUUUGGUCAACAAUCAACUAACCCGAGUCAUGAUACGUUCAAAUUAUCAUUAUUAUUAUUAUUUUCUUAGCAUACCCAAAAAUAGCGAAGUCUAUCCAAGAAAUAACAUAAUCAUAUCAUGAUUGACCUGAGAAUCAAUAGUAUUCACUUUCCCUUAUUAACAAAAUCUUUCAUUAUUGAACAACAUAGUCUUUCAUCAUAACAUGUUACCAAAACACAGUCAAUAUUUUUGACCUGUUUAAAUUUACUCAGUUCAUCAAAUUUCUG
rnacentral:lncRNA from 1 species